rnacentral:rRNA from 1 species
GAUGAACGCUAGCUACAGGCUUAACACAUGCAAGUCGCGGGGCAGCAUGGGGGUUGCUUGCAAUCCCCGAUGGCGACCGGCGCACGGGUGAGUAACGCGUAUCCAACCUGCCCUUCACCACGGGAUAACCCGGCGAAAGUCGGACUAAUACCGUAUGUUGUCCAUUGACGGCAUCCGAUUUGGACGAAAGGUUUGGCGGUGAAGGAUGGGGAUGCGUCCGAUUAGCUGGACGGCGGGGUGACGGCCCACCGUGGCGACGAUCGGUAGGGGUUCUGAGAGGAAGGUCCCCCACACGGGAACUGAGACACGGUCCAGACUCCUACGGGAGGCAGCAGUGAGGAAUAUUGGUCAAUGGGCGUAAGCCUGAACCAGCCAAGUAGCGUGCAGGAUGACGGCCCCAUGGGUGGUAAACUGCUUUUAUGCGGGGAUAAAGUGGCCCACGUGUGGGUUUUUGCAGGUACCGCAUGAAUAAGGACCGGCUAAUUCCGUG